rnacentral:rRNA from 1 species
CCCCGGCGCCACAAGUGGUUAUCACGAUUAUUGGGCCUAAAGCGUUCGUAGCCGGUUUGGUAAAUCUCUUGUGAAAUUGUUCGGCUUAACCGGACAGCGUGCAGGAGACACUACCAGACUCGAGACCGGGAGGGGUUAGAAGUAUUCCAUGGGGACUGGUAAAAUGGGAUAAUCCAUGGAAGACUACCGAUGGCGAAGGCAUCUAACCAGAACGGAUCUGACGGUGAGGAACGAAAGCCAGGGGAGCGAACCGG